GACGAACGCUGGCGGCGUGCUUAACACAUGCAAGUCGAACGAUGAAGCUGGAGCUUGCUCUAGCGGAUUAGUGGCGAACGGGUGAGUAACACGUGAGCAAUCUGCCCUUGACUCUGGGAUAACUGCGGGAAACUGUAGCUAAUACCGGAUACUUUCACCGGGGGGCAUCCUCUGGUGAUGAAAGAAUUUCGGUCAAGGAUGAGCUCGCGGCCUAUCAGCUUGUUGGUGAGGUAACAGCUCACCAAGGCGACGACGGGUAACCGGCCUGAGAGGGUGACCGGUCACACUGGGACUGAGACACGGCCCAGACUCCUACGGGAGGCAGCAGUGGGGAAUAUUGCACAAUGGGCGCAAGCCUGAUGCAGCAACGCCGCGUGAGGGAUGAAGGCCUUCGGGUUGUAAACCUCUUUUAGCAGGGAAGAAGCGAAAGUGACGGUACCUGCAGAAAAAGCACCGGCUAACUACGUGCCAGCCGCCGCAGUAA
rnacentral:rRNA from 1 species